rnacentral:tRNA from 1 species
UCCCUGGUGGCUGAGACAGUAAAGAAUCUGCCUGCAAUGCAGGAGACCCCAGGUUUGAUCCCUGGGUUGGGAA